rnacentral:rRNA from 1 species
AACGAACGCUGGCGGCAUGCCUAACACAUGCAAGUCGAACGAGACCUUCGGGUCUAGUGGCGCACGGGUGCGUAACGCGUGGGGACCUGCCCUUAGGUUCGGAAUAACUCCCCGAAAGGGGUGCUAAUACCGGAUAAUGUCUUCGGACCAAAGAUUUAUCGCCUUUGGAUGGGCCCGCGUUGGAUUAGCUAGUUGGUAGGGUAAAAGCCUACCAAGGCGACGAUCCAUAGCUGGUCUGAGAGGAUGAUCAGCCACACUGGGACUGAGACACGGCCCAGACUCCUACGGGAGGCAGCAGUGGGGAAUAUUGGACAAUGGGCGAAAGCCUGAUCCAGCAAUGCCGCGUGAGUGAUGAAGGCCUUAGGGUUGUAAAGCUCUUUUACCCGGGAUGAUAAUGACAGUACCUGGAGAAUAAGCUCCGGCUAACUCCGUG